GGUGGCAUCGACGAUCCUCCAACGGUCCCCAUCUGACAUUUUUGGGCGAUCGCCGAUGUUCUCAAUUCUGUGGUAAACCGGCAAGUUUAACGCAUUUCUGUAACUUAUAUUGCAUUUCCCCAUUUAAUUCCGGAAAGGCACUGAAAAUAAAUAAUCUAUUUAUCAUAUAGGCCUAUCAUAGAGUAAGCAGUCAGCGCAGGGAGAUUGUGUUCAGAAAAUGGCCGAGUGCUUUGUUCUAGAUUGCUCUUCAGUUACAGAGAGAAGAUUUUAUACAGAUUGCCUAAAGGCCCAGCAUUCAAAAAAUUCAUCGAUAAUUUAUAUUGUUAUUUGAUAUAUAAUUUCAGUAAUGUUACACAUAUUUUAAUUAUCGUUUAUAAUAUGAUUUAAAUAUAUAAAUAAUAAUAGGACACUUGACCCAAUCAAGCAAUAUCAAUGCCAUUUAUCAACUUCAAAAAUAAGAAAUGUCAGUACAGGGGUAAUGUACUUAUUUUUAUUUUAAAACUUAGGAUUGACGUUUUCAUAAAUGUUAAUCGCCACAUCCCAAUAUCAAACAAUUUUAACUCACUGUAUCUCGCAACUGCUGAACUGUAGACGUUAAUACAGGUAUAGUGUAGGCCUAUGUAUAAUGUUUGUGAAAAUAACAUUUGCAUUUACUGUGCUGUAUUUUGAAAGUGUAAAAA